AAUUAAGUGGUCACAUUGAGUACCGAGUCAAAAUUUGAACAUUUAUUUGAGCAUUUGAUCAUUUAUAAAUGAAAUUGUAUAAAAUUUAUUUCAUUUAUAAAUAAAUAUUAAUGGAUUUAGAUUUUUAUAUGCUUGUAUCAAAAUAAAACCAUUCAAUUUGAUUAUAUUUAAGAACCAUAACCACUAAAAAAGAAACAAAACCAUGGCAUUUUAUUUGGAUCGGGUUGAAUUAAAUCUGUUUGUUUUUCUUUUUACAUAUUCCUAAUUUUUCUAACUUUUUCAUCUUCUUUUUCUUUUUCUUGGUCUUUUAUAAUUUUUUCUUCUUUUUCCCUUUUUUUUUUCUUGAAUUCUUUUAGCCAUAGCUCAGCCAAGGCCCUGAAUCUUGCAACAAGUACUUGGUGAACUCUGAUAUUAAGGAAAGAAAUGCUGCUGGCAAUCCAUAUAUUACGGAUAGUUCAAACGGAGAAGCCAAUCUACCCAGCCUCUGAAUCAUCCCCAGGCAGCUCUGCAAUCUUUGUGGAGCUGGCAGAAGUGAGUUGAAAUGUAGAGCUAUUAUACUGCUGCACCACCAGGACAGAUGCCGAAGUUGAAAAAUCAUUAGAAGUCAAGAGGUUGCCUACAGGA
rnacentral:misc_RNA from 1 species